rnacentral:rRNA from 1 species
GAUGAACGCUGGCGGCGUGCCUAAUACAUGCAAGUCGAGCGAACAGAUGAGUUGCUUGCUCCUCUGACGUUAGCGGCUGACGGGUGAUUAACACGUGGAUAACCUACCUAUAAUACUGGGAUAACUUCGGGAAACCGUAGCUAAUACCGGAUAAUAUUUUGAACCGCAUGGUUCAAUAGUGAAAUACGGUUUUUCUGUCACUUAUAGAUGGAUCCGCGCGGCAUUAGCUAGUUGGUAAGGUAACGGCUUACCAAGGCGACGAUGCGUAUCCGACCUGAGAGGGUGAUCGGCAACACUGGAACUGAGAAACGGACCAGAGUCCUACGGGAGGCAGCAGUAGGGAAUAUUACGCAAUGGGCGAAAGGAUGACGGAGAAAAGCAGAGGGAGUGAUGAAGGUAUUAGGAUCGUAAAAAGCGGUUAUUAGGGAAGAAAAAAUGUGUAAGAAAAUAUGCACGAAUUGACGGUAACUAAUAAGAAAGCAACGGCUAACUACGUG